rnacentral:rRNA from 1 species
CCUACGGGAGGCAGCAGUGGGGAAUAUUGGACAAUGGGCGAAAGCCUGAUCCAGCAAUGCCGCGUGAGUGAUGAAGGCCUUAGGGUUGUAAAGCUCUUUUACCAGGGAUGAUAAUGACAGUACCUGGAGAAUAAGCUCCGGCUAACUCCGUGCCAGCAGCCGCGGUAAUACGGAGGGAGCUAGCGUUGUUCGGAAUUACUGGGCGUAAAGCGUACGUAGGCGGUUAUUCAAGUCAGAGGUGAAAGCCUGGAGCUCAACUCCAGAACUGCCUUUGAAACUAGAUAGCUAGAAUCUUGGAGAGGUGAGUGGAAUUCCGAGUGUAGAGGUGAAAUUCGUAGAUAUUCGGAAGAACACCAGUGGCGAAGGCGACUCACUGGACAAGUAUUGACGCUGAGGUACGAAAGCGUGGGGAGCAAACAGGAUUAGAUACCCUGGUAGUCCACGCCGUAAACGAUGAUAACUAGCUGUUCGGGCUCUACGAGCUUGAGUGGCGCAGCUAACGCAUUAAGUUAUCCGCCUGGGGAAGUCGGUCGCAAGNUUAAAACUCAAAUUGAAAUUGACGGCUGAGACGNGCGAGGACGACGACGAGGGAGGAGG